rnacentral:lncRNA from 1 species
UGCAUAUUGUCAGAAAAAGAAAGAGAGAGAAGUAUAAUUUUAGAAACUACAUGGGAGGUCUCUUUAUUUGUCGGAGACAUCAGGGGAUAUUAGUGAAAUUAACCGUAAAAAACAACAGCAUAAUGUUUCAGUCUAAAAUGGCCCUACGCAAGAACGACAGAAGAGGGAAGAAACAAUGUGCAUUUUAUUUUUCCCCCCAAGAACCCAACGGAGCCACAGAAUCAUGCCUGCGUCUCUCUCUCUCUCUCUCCUCCAUUCGUAGUAUCGCUCUCAAAACUUUUGUUUCCUCCCGGAGAUGUUGGAAAGCUAGGGUUUACAGGAAUUCGAUCAGGGAAAGGAAAACCCGUCCACGAAGAUCACCUUCACGCAGACUGUUUUUUUUGGAUUUUUUGGGGUUUGAUUAAUUACUCAUCCUCACCGCUUCUGACAAGGUAAUCAAUUACUUUCUCCCACUAAGAAUUUUCCCAUGGACCUAAAGUUUCUCUCAUGUCCGAUUCUCUCUUUCUCUCUCUGUCUCUAUGUAUAUAUACACUCGCACGAUAUGCGUGCAAAUGGAUUUUUUUUUUUUAUAUAUCUAGCAGUUACUAGCACUUAUGGAGGAAUAAUUUUGGCAUUUAAAUAAUGUGAGCUGGGUUCGUUCAUACUAAACUUAACUGGGUGUUUCCUACAGAUAUAGACAAGAAAUUUCAAGUGAUACAACCUCAUUUGCCAGAAUAGAUAGAUUUUUUCUAUAGCUGUUUCAUUUGUGCUAUAAAAAGGAGUUAUUAUUGGUCUUACAAGCACCACGGUUGUUUUUGAGAAAGAGUUUGGCUGAUGAAUAAGGUGGUGUUUUAUCCUAUGUGAUGCGUGAAUUCAAGUCUCACGCUAGAACCUGUAUGUGUAUUGAGAAAGAUAGAUGCAUCCACAAAAGUGUAAACUUAUUAAUUAAAACGGAAAGAUGACAUGAUUUGUCUUCAAAUUACAAAGAGCUGGAGCAGACAAAUCGACGAUCAAAGGGAAAAAUUAUUGAAAACAACGAACUUGAGUGAGUCGUGAUCACUUGUUUUUAGCAGGGUAAGAAGCCAUUUUGUUGAUACCGCACAUGCCUUCCGGUUUCCCAGUGUUUCUUUCAUCCUUAUGUAUCCCUUUCUCCUCCCCCCAUUUGGGCCCCAUGAGUUCUUCACAAUAGUUAAUUUAAAGCCCUUGCUGAAAACCAUAUCAACGGCUGCCCACUCCAGGUCCAGCUCACUCUUCCACAGUGCCCAUCAAAUAACACCCUGCCAAAUUACAAAUCCAUAUCUUAAUUAAUUUCUACAAAGUGAGGCCAAAAUUGUGGAUACCACCGUUGGCUAUUUAUAGGUAUAUAUAUACGUGUGUGCGUGUGUGUAUGGGAGAAUUUUAGGCUUUGGUUUCAUUACCCCCCCUGUAAAACUGGAAAGCCUCUACUCAUAAGCCUCAAUGGCCACACUCAGAGGCUGUUUUCAAGUCCUUCAACAUGGCUUCCAUUCAUUGUUUCUCCCCGGUACAAAAUCAUUGAUAUCCACUAAUUGUCACUACCUUUGAUCUUCCUAUUUAUAUGGAAUGAAAAACAUCACCACAACAUAAAAUAAUAAAUGUAUAUGCUUUAACAUGAUCCGGUUGUUGGUGGUAAAAUGUGACGCAUCGUCACUUACCUCUCUCGUCACAGUGGGGGCCUUCCUCCUGAGGUAAGGGUAAUCCUCCUCCUAUGACGGCCCCCCAUUGUGCCCUAAUGAACUCGAAAGCGUAGUCAUGAGACCACCAUUGCAGCCAUGAUUAAAGUAAAAGCUUGUGUCGCAGUCCACUCAGCUCUUGUUUCUGAAGCGAAGUUAAUUUCCUGUUGCAAUGGUUGUAAUAUUUAAUGCCCUCAACAGCAGCACGGUUGAAAAUGCCCCAGCAACUCCCUGAAUAUUCACCAUUUAUAUACACACAAUUGCCAGUGAGGAACACCAAAGUCAAAAACAUAUGUAUAGUAAAUUCUAAAUUACGGGUUGUUUUUCUGGGCAUGUAUCAUUUGGCCUACUGUACUUGUAGUUAUAUAUCCCAUUGAGCUAGUAAUAAGGUAAACACAUGUUUGGGCAAUUGUCAUGUACUUACCAACAUGAAUCCAACCUUGGUUCUUUAACUGGAGUGACCCCGCCCCUUUUUUUCCUCCAGUCCACGACUUGGGGCAAUCUACACAUCUCUAUAAGUGAAUUCUUCAGGGGAAUCCCGCUUUUGGGCACCUCACCUUGAGCCCGAGUGUCAUCUUUUGACUCUUCAUGCUCAAAUCGGCAAACUCAUUCGUCCAAGCCAGUAGUUAACGAUCUUCUUAUUCCUUCAUCAUGUGCUUCUCAAUUAUCCUUGACACGCUCAAAUCUAUGCAACUUCCUCUUCAAAACUUUUGUAAUUUUUGCCAUGUUUGGGCCAUCCCCCCAUGAUUCGAAGAGUCAAUGAGUCUAUUCUAUGGAUUUCACAAGUCAACGGGUGACUAACCCACGAUGGAGCAAUUAUAGCAAGAACCAAAGAGGUCAGGAUUGACAAGGAGAAGAGAAAUAAGCACUUAGAAAUGAUGAAACCUGUCAUUUUGCGCGGGGUUGCUACACAGAAUAAAAAUUAGAGAAGAGAUGAAGAUUGAGGUAGGAAUUGUGCGGAUUUAUAUAGGCCAUUUUUCAAUGUUGCUUUCAAGUAAAGUUGUUGUAUUGUCUGUAAUAUACCGAAUCUUAAAGCUUGGUUCUUUUUGGCAGACUUUAAAUCCAAG